rnacentral:rRNA from 1 species
AAUACCGCGUAACGCGGCCUUGGGGCAUCCCCGGGCCGCCAAAGGGAGCAAUCCCGGCCACGGAUGGGCAUGCGGCGCAUUAGCUAGUCGGCGGGGUAACGGCCCACCGAGGCGACGAUGCGUAGGGGUUCUGAGAGGAAGGCCCCCCACACUGGUACUGAGACACGGACCAGACUCCUACGGGAGGCAGCAGUGAGGAAUAUUGGUCAAUGGGCGCGAGCCUGAACCAGCCAAGUCGCGUGAGGGAGGACGGCCCUACGGGUUGUAAACCUCUUUUGCCGGGGAGCAACGGGCGUCACGUGUGGCGCCACUGAGAGUACCCGGAGAAAAAGCAUCGGCUAACUCCGUGCCAGCAGCCGCGGUAAUACGGAGGAUGCGAGCGUUAUCCGGAUUUAUUGGGUUUAAAGGGUGCGUAGGCGGAUCGUUAAGUCAGUGGUCAAAUUGAGGGGCUCAACCCCUUCCCGCCAUUGAAACUGGCGAUCUUGAGUGGAAGAGAAGUAUGCGGAAUGCGUGGUGUAGCGGUGAAAUGCAUAGAUAUCACGCAGAACCCCGAUUGCGAAGGCAGCAUGCCGGCUUCCGACUGACGCUGAAGCACGAAAGCGUGGGGAUCGAACAGGAUUAGAUACCCUGGUAGUCCACGCGGUAAACGAUGAGCGCUAGGUGUCCGG